rnacentral:tRNA from 1 species
GGAUGGGUGGCCGAGCGGUUGAAGGCAACGGUCUUGAAAAUCGUCGUAUCCGCGAGGGUACCGGGGGUUCGAAUCCCUCCCCAUCCGCCA